GCCUACGGGGGGCAGCAGUGGGGAAUAUUGCACAAUGGGGGAAACCCUGAUGCAGCGAUGCCACGUGGAGGAAGAAGGUUUUCGGAUUGUAAACUCCUUUUAUCAGGGACGAUAAUGACGGUACCUGACUAAGAAGCCCCGGCUAACUACGUGCCAGCAGCCGCGGUAAUACGUAGGGGGCAAGCGUUAUCCGGAUUUACUGGGUGUAAAGGGUGCGUAGGUGGCAGGGCAAGUCAGAUGUGAAAGCCCGGGGCCCAACCCCGGUACUGCAUUUGAAACUGUCCGGCUGGAGUGCAGGAGAGGUA
rnacentral:rRNA from 1 species